rnacentral:SRP_RNA from 1 species
ACUUGGGGGGGCCAUGCUGGUGCGGUCGAGGGCGCCGCG